UUAAGAGCUGAUUACCACUGGGGAAGGAUUUUUUGAGGAUUGCUCCUCUUGAAAUCUUCUCAGUGAGCCCAGGACAAGGUGACUCCAUGAAAAUUUACUUUGGGCAAGGAAAGUGAAAGAAUACAAGUAAAUUCUCCAGUCCUUUAUCACUACAUCUUGUAACAUACAGGUGCUCUGUGUCAGGCUCAACUUUCUCAUCAAUUAGCAUGGCACAAUAAGAAAACCCAGUUUGCAAAAAGGACCAAGUUGGGAACAGAGUUUCUGGUUGCAGCUCACCAUGUCCAUUUUAUUCCC